ACAUUCUCCUCGCUGGUUUCGGGCGGUUGAAAACGACGUGUGCGGGGUUGUGCUGGAAGAAGUCGCUUAUAUUGUGAUUGUGCAGCCUAAAAUACAUCACAGGCAAGGAGAUUCCGUUUAAAUUACACUGUUGUUUCUGUGCGUGCACUUUUACAAACAAGCAGGCUCCAUCGUAGCCGAGAUUUAAACUGUUUGGCGGAAGGCUGCAAGGCCUCAACGGCUAGCUAAUCACCAUGAGUUACGGUAGGGCACCGCCAGACGUUGAUGGCAUGACUUCCCUCAAAGUGGACAACUUAACGUACCGAACAUCGCCCGAAACCCUCAGACGUGUUUUCGAGAAGUAUGGUCGAGUAGGGGACGUCUACAUCCCCCGAGACCGCUACACGAAAGAAAGUCGCGGUUUCGCGUUUGUGCGGUUCCACGACAAACGGGACGCCGAAGAUGCAAUGGACGCCAUGGACGGCGCGCUCCUCGAUGGACGGGAGCUGCGGGUCCAGAUGGCCCGGUACGGAAGACCACCUGAUUCCCAUUACGGCGGUGGUGGCGGCGGCGGUGGAGGAGGACGGCGAGGCGGAGGAGGGCCUCCCAGGAGGUACAGCGGGCAUGGACGCCGAAGCAGGAGCUCUUCCCCCAGCCCGAGACACAGAAGACGGAGCAGGUCUCGCAGCAGGAGCCGCUCUCGAUCCAGAAGCCGAUCCCGCUACAGCAAAUCCAGGUCCCGAUCCUACUCCCGAUCCAAGUCCCACUCUCCCAGGACCAAGAAGACCAAGGCCAAGUCCCAGUCUCGUUCCAGAUCUAGAUCCCGGUCCAAGUCCAAGUCCAGGUCCAGAAGCCGCAGCCCCACCCCUGCCUCCAAACGAGAGUCCAGGUCAAGAUCUAAAAGCCAGCCCAAGUCGGCAGCAGAAAAUGGAGGCGAAUCCCCUUAGAGCUCAGCAGCUGCGGCAUCCUGUUUGCUAAAGCGGAGUUUGAGCUGAGCUGAGGCAGUAUGAGCAGUUAGAAGGUGUUUGGUGAGCUGCCCGCCUGAUCCUGGUGAGGCUGUCUGUGCAGCAGCAGGGUGGAGGCAGUCAGUGUUGGGGUUUGGUGGUGAGUUUCAGGUGACUUCUGAACUCCAAGUCCAAGACUGGAUCCAACGCAAGCAACCGUGUCCUGCUGUGAAAGGUUAUUAUUGUGUCUUCCAUGCUUUAGUUUGUUAAAUUCAUUUUGCCACAAACAGGAUUUUUUUUUCUUCAUUUCAUCAAUGUGCUGUGAUUUUAUUUCUUCAUAACAUGUUUAUGGUUUUAAUAAUCCAGUUCAAUGUGGAGAGGAGUUUCUGUUUUUGUUCUGAUCACACAGGAUAAUAUACAAAGAUGUUCAUGUUUAGUUUUGUACUUUUGGCUCAAGUUGCCCCCUCAGCUUUAAGUUCUUCUGCCCAUGGCCUAUAUCAAGAAGCAAGUGACAGGCUUUCUUUUGCUUUGUUCUGCCUGUCUUUGAUAUGAUUAUAAUGGGAAGCAACAUUUCUAAUAUUUCUUGGGCUGCAGUUUCAUUAGAGAUGGCGAAAGCUGGAUUGAUGUUUCACUGAGGGCUCACUUCAUGGUAAAUGUACUACUUUCAUCCAUGCACAGAUCCUGUAGAAAAGUAGAUAUUUUUUUUCACACUUGCCAUGGUGAUCCUGAGUAUCCUGGUGAGUGACUCAGCUUUUUGAUACCUAAUGGCCCGGGUUAAGUCCAGAUUUAGAUGGCAGACACAAUCAUAUGGCUCUGAUACAGGCCUGUGGUGUUAGUCGGAUACUCAGACACACCAGGGCUCAUUUUUCCCACAUCUGAAGAGGCCAUUCAUUCCUGUUACUUUUACUUCUUGUUCAGCAUGAGAUUUAAACAAACAUCCAAAGUGACAUAAUCUACACCAAUUUAAAAUGUUGCUUUUAUAAUUGUUUUCAUGUCAGUGCAGCCAUUUCAUCAAACAGUAGUAAUCCCUCAGAAACUUCACCUGCUUCCUUACUGUCUUUGAUUUCAGCUGCUCAGGGUGUCUUUUAUUAAGCGGGACAGUAGAUAAUUUUAACUCCUGGGAUUGAAUGUGUUAAAUAUAAUUGUAAAUGGCAUUUACAGUAAAAUUACUGGUGAUGUAAAGUCUAAAAUUAAUUGGUUAUGGAAUGUUUCAGGUCAUUAAAAGAACAUUUAAACUCACAGGACUCCAGACACAGUCUUUGCUUUUUCUUUUUAAUUUUUGAUGCUAAUCCUGCUUGUAUGUUGUUUUUUUUGUGCACUAGGCGCAGUUGUGUAGCAGUUGAUAUUGCUGGUUAGCUGUUAAGGUGGCGUGUUGCUCUGCUGAGUGCUUGGAUGUUUCCAGUAUUCUCCAGAUUGCUCCUGUGACUACCAGUGGUGCAGUUGCUACAGUCUCAUCCUUUGUACAAUGCCAUGUUUUUGUUUUUUUUUUUUCCCCUCACAUGGUCAUGGAUGACAAAUGUGACUUUGAUUAAAGAUUUUGGUGUUUUGUCUAUAA